GUGCCAGCCGCCGCGGUAAUACGUAGGGGGCAAGCGUUGUCCGGAAUUAUUGGGCGUAAAGCGCGCGCAGGCGGUCUUUUAAGUUUGGUGUUUAAGCCCGGGGCUCAACCCCGGUUCGCACUGAAAACUGGGAGACUUGAGUGCAGGAGAGGAAAGCGGAAUUCCACGUGUAGCGGUGAAAUGCGUAGAGAUGUGGAGGAACACCAGUGGCGAAGGUGACUCUCUGGCCUGUAACUGACGCUGAGGCGCGAAAGCGUGGGGAGCAAACAGGAUUAGAUACCCCUGUAGUCC
rnacentral:rRNA from 1 species